GUUUUUAAGCACGUUUUGAAUAUAUUCCUAAAAGACGCUAGUCAUGCAACGCGUUUUGGGCUGCGGGAAAUUUUUACUUUGAAAUCCAACCCUUCCUCUACGCCUAAAAAAGAGGUCUUCCACUUCAUGCUUCAUUGUUCCUCAAAAAUCUUCUCCCACAGCCUCUUCAUCUUUCAUCUAUAAACACUUCUUGGUGUUAAAAAUUAUGUCGCUAAAAUUUUUUUGUUGAUGUUUGAGGUAUUAUUGAGUCAUUGAUGAUGUGACAUUGCUUCGAGCCACACACAUUUCAUAUAUCAUGCUAAGAUGGGACCAUUACCUCUGAAGUCUAUCCUAGGAAAGUCGAGUUACGAGGUGAUUUUGCUUUGUACGGUCACGAGUGAUAGUAUAUGUAGAGGUCUCAACCGAUGGUAGUUAUGCAAUCAUAGAUUGAGGUAUAAUGGGGAAGCCAGUUGCUGAUAGUUAUGCGGCCAUGAAUUCAAACUUUUUGAAAAACUGAAAAUGUUGCCUUAUAAAUAACAUACGGAAGUUUGAGGGCAUAAUCAUAAGGGAAAUUUAUGGGUCUUCUUGCUAUAAUCGACAUAAUUUUUUUCUUCAUCUCUAAGCAACCAAUAUCUUUAACCUUCCUUCUUAUCCAAAGUCGACACCAUUGUGGACGCAAGACUCUUAGGCUUGAAGCGACUAUUUCGGUGGAGUAAAGGUAAUGCUCCUUUCGGGCUGACAGUGGUUUCCAUUAUUAAACAACUCAUUAAUAACUACAACCGCUAUCGUGCCGACUCGAGUUUGACAUCUACUUUCAUCAAAACAUCUGCUCGCCCUCUGAGAGUCCUCUUGUGUCCACCAAGGUGUCAACCUUCGGAUAAUAAUGAAAGGUUAAAGAUAUCGACUACGUGGAAAUAAAGGAAAAAAUUAUGUUUAUUACACCGGAAAUCCAUCCGCUUUUCCCUAUGAUUAUGGUCUCAAUCUUUUGUAUGGUAUAUAUAAGGCAUCAUUUGUGGGGUAUCCAAAAAGCUUGAACUUGUGACCGUGUAACGACCAUCAACUGGCCCCUGAUUAUACUUGAACCCGUGAUCGCAUCACGGUCACUAACUGGGACCUCCACUUGGACUUCGACCCCUGAUCUUAUCUAGCACAAUCACCUCGAAACCAUAUUUCCCUAAAAUGGGUUUCUGAUGUGAUAGUUCUAUCCUGCCACGACAUAUGAAAUGUAUGUGUUAUAAGACGCAUUAUCACAUCCCCAACUCCUCAAAACUACCUUUGAAAUUUUCUGGUUUCAAUCGAAAACUCCGAACCUUUUUUAAGAAACUCUAAACUCAAAAACCCUAAACCUAAAAGUAUUAAAAUCUUAAACCUAAAAACAUUAAAAACCCUAACCCUAGGAGAGAGAAACAGAAAGCACGUCCAACUGGAUGCACUUUCCAUUUCUUUCUCUAAAAACAACCUACUUCCCUAAAUUUAAAAAACCAGCUUAUAAACCUAAUUUAAAAAACAACAUAAUUACCUAAUUUAGUCGAAGAUAUGAGAUGAUAACUUCCAAACUCAGGAUGCAAUAAUGGUCUCAUCAUCUUGUAUAUGUCUAAUGGUUGUGGCU
rnacentral:lncRNA from 1 species